UUUUUUUUUUUUUUUUUUUUUUUUUGUGUAGCAGUUCUUACCAGGGUGCUUAGGCUAGCCUCAAACUUGUGGACCCAAGAUCCCCUUACAACAAGCUGCCUCUAUUGGCCGUCCUACCACAUCUUGCUCAGAUUUUGCCCAUUAAAACAAAAUUAUUUCAGAAAAAAACUGACUCAGUCUGUGGAGGCAGAAGAAAUAUUCAUGUAUGCAGGCAAAUAUUAAACGUUGAAUACAACACUCCUACAUUGGGAAGAAGACAGUUGGUAUUGUAAAGUUUUUCCUUCUUUUCCUGGAUCUGACACCCACUUCUUAUCUUCAAGCCCAUGUCCUGGGGGAAUUCACACCACGAAGGCAUAUUCAGUAUAUGCACUGUUUGAAGUUGGUUAUUCCAUUCGACCCAGGUUUUCAGCUAACUGUGCAUUCCAAAUAAUUAUGUAUUGUCUUCCCCACUUCCCUCACGGAUACUUGCCACCAUUAUCCUUUCUGGUUUUGAUGCAGUGCCCUCAUUUGCUGCUUUCUUUCUUGCAGAGUUCUAGUGUGGAUUACAUGGUAGCUUGCAUGCCCACUGCUAAAGCUCUGCCGCUCCCUGACAGGGUACAGACCUCCGCAAGUGAUUUGCUUGGGAAGAGAAAAACUUGUCAGACGUACUUCUUAACAGGAGUGCUUUGGGGAGAGGCGCUCUUGGGGGAUGCUCACUGAUUGCCUGAGUGUCCUUCACAUCACUUUAUCUCACUAAGAGGACACAGCUACCAGAGUAGUUGAAAUAAAAAUGUACAGAUGGCAGUGGCAAAUACACUUAAAACUCUUUCUGAAACUUUGCUUACACAUUUAGCAUGAAGAAAGCGGUGCCGCUGAUAAAUGCAAUAGACACGGGGAGAUUCCCACGACUUCUCAGCCGGAUUCUUCAAAAGCUCCACCUGAAGGUUUGCAUUUCUGUGUUCCUGUGGCUUGUGACCCCUCUGAUUCCCUGAGACAUUACGGUAGUAUAUGGAGAAUUGUGAGAAAUACUGUCCACUGGGGGAUUCUUGGGAACUCUAGAUCUGUGGAAGUUUGAUGGUGUACUCUUGUCAGAAGCUUGGAAGACUUUGUAUUCUCUAAUU
rnacentral:lncRNA from 1 species